rnacentral:rRNA from 1 species
UACGGAGGGGGCGAGCGUUAUUCGGAAUUAUUGGGCGUAAAGGGCGCGUAGGCGGCUUGGUAAGUCAAAGGUGAAAUCCCUCGGCUCAACUGAGGAAUUGCCUUUGAAACUGCCUGGCUUGAGGCCGGGAGGGGGUAGCGGAAUUCCCAGUGUAGCGGUGAAAUGCGUAGAUAUUGGGAGGAACACCGGUGGCGAAGGCGGCUACCUGGACCGGUUCUGACGCUGAUGCGCGAAAGCGUGGGUAGCAAACAGG